rnacentral:rRNA from 1 species
GACGAACGCUGGCGGCGUGCCUAAUACAUGCAAGUAGGACGCAGUUGCGAACGGGUGAGUAACGCGUAGGUAACUACCUAUUAGAGGGGGAUAACUAUUGGAAACGAUAGCUAAUACCGCAUACUAGUAGAUGGACCUGCGUUGUAUUAGCUAGUAGUUGGGGUAAUGGCCUACCUAGGCAACGAUACAUAGCCGACCGGGAAGGGUGGUCGGACACACUGGGACUGAGAACCGGCCCAGACUCGUACGGGGGGCAGCAGUGGGGAAUCUUCGGCAAUGGGGGGAACCCUGACGGAGCAACGCCGCGGGAGGGAAGAAGGUUUUCGGAUCGUAAAGCUCUGUUGUUAAGGAAGCGGUACUUAACCAGAAAGGGACGGCUAACUACGUGCCAGCAGCCGCGGUAAUAC